AUGGAUGGCAGCUGCAGCGGCGCGGCGAAGGCCGCCUGGUGCGGCGGCUGCCACGGCAGCCACGGCGACGCGGGGGCGGCGAUGGGCGGCGCAGCCGGGUGCGGUCCGUGGGACCCGGCCAAGAACAGGCGGAUCUCCUGGACCGCCUGGGUUAGGUCUCGCAGCACCCCGGACACCUCCUCCCAGGUGAGGACAGCGGGGGCGGGCGCGACGGAGGAUCCCGGCGCGGGCAAGAGUGGGGCGACGGUCGUGGUGGUCGCCGGAGGCGUCAAGGUGACCGGCAGCGGAAGAGACGGGCUUGGCGGCGGUGAAGACAUGAUCGAACCGAAGGUAGCUGAUAUCAAAUUGUUAUGGCGCUGCUAA
rnacentral:rRNA from 1 species